CACCAGACCACCGCCUGCCACCAUCCUCAGGCUGCUGCCCUUUGACUUCCUUCAGCAAGAGUUUUUGCCUAUUAACGAUGGUGCUGCUAUGAACAUUCCUGAAUGUCUUCUUUGAUGCCUGGGCAUUGGGUGUAUACCUAUGAGUUUGCACGAUUGCAGAAUAGCACCAGAGCACAAUCUUCAGAUACAAUCUUUGGGAGAAGACUGACAUGCAAAGAGUGACUUGCAAUCUGUAGACAAAAGAAGCUAAAAGAAAUAUGAAAAUAAAUUUGCAUACAACGGAAUCUGGCAAAGCAAGGGAGCUCAAAGAUAUUCAGGGAAAUGCAUGCCUGACAGAGAUGACUAGAAAAGCAGAGGCGAUCCAAGACUGCAUUUCCAGCACUGGUGUGAACUUGGCUUUGUUUAAUUAGUCAUACCUUCGAAGACAGGAAAGCUUCCUGGCUGCCACUGUGGUCUACCCAGCAGAAGUCUGAAUAUACACAUUGUGGUGGAGAGCAGGAUAUUCUGAGCUUUUCACAUGGCCCAACACCUAAGCACUUAUCAAGCCUGGUGACAUACAUGGUGAGCAAUGCAUCGUGUUUGCUGAUGUCUCGUUGGCUACAGCAAGGUCCGUGACUGAGCCCAGAGUCAACAUGGAAGGCAAUUACACAGGGUGGAAGUCAUGGAGGCUAUGAGUGUCACAAUCUAUCACAGGCUACAUCAUCUCUAAGGUUCUUUCUGCCCCAACAUUCUGGCUUCCUGGGGAUCAUGGAGGGGAAAACAUGGAACAGCAACUCUGCUCAGAAGUGAAAUGAAGACCCCAGCACACCAAAGCCUUCUUGCCUGGAAAUGGCGAAGCCGCUAGUCUAUACCAGCUUCCUACCAUGUGUUGCUCAUUUCCACCAAAGCCCUCCAAUUCAGGGGAAAGACUUACUGAGGAAAGGAAGAGUAAAUGAAAUGCAAUCCAAUCACUGAUACUGUUGCAUUUAUUAAUUCGUUCAUGAGGAAGAAUGGUCAGUAGGAU